AGAGUUUGAUCAUGGCUCAGAUUGAACGCUGGCGGAAUGCUUUACACAUGCAAGUCGAACGGCAGCACGGACUUCGGUCUGGUGGCGAGUGGCGAACGGGUGAGUAAUAUAUCGGAACGUAUCCAAUAAUGGGGGAUAACUAAUCGAAAGGUUGGCUAAUACCGCAUACGCCCUACGGGGGAAAGCAGGGGAUCUUCGGACCUUGCGUUAAUGGAGCGGCUGAUAUCUGAUUAGCUAGUAGGUGGGGUAAAGGCCCACCUAGGCGACGAUCUGUAGCUGGUCUGAGAGGACGACCAGCCACACUGGAACUGAGACACGGUCCAGACUCCUACGGGAGGCAGCAGUGGGGAAUUUUGGACAAUGGGCGAAAGCCUGAUCCAGCCAUUCCGCGUGAGUGAAGAAGGCCUUCGGGUUGUAAAGCUCUUUCGCGAGGGAAGAAAACUUACCAUCGAAUAAAUGGUGAGGCUGACGGUACCUUGAUAAGAAGCACCGGCUAACUACGUGCCAGCAGCCGCGGUAAUACGUAGGGUGCGAGCGUUAAUCGGAAUUACUGGGCGUAAAGCGUGCGCAGGCGGUUUUGUAAGUCAGAUGUGAAAUCCCCGAGCUCAACUUGGGAACUGCGUUUGAAACUACAAGACUAGAAUAUGUCAGAGGGGGGUAGAAUUCCACGUGUAGUAGUGAAAUGCGUAGAGAUGUGGAGGAACACCAAUGGCGAAGGCAGCCCCCUGGGAUAAUAUUGACGCUCAUGCACGAAAGCGUGGGGAGCAAACAGGAUUAGAUACCCUGGUAGUCCACGCCCUAAACGAUGUCUACUAGUUGUUGGUGGAGUAAAAUCCAUGAGUAACGCAGCUAACGCGUGAAGUAGACCGCCUGGGGAGUACGGUCGCAAGAUUAAAACUCAAAUGAAUUGACGGGGGCCCGCACAAGCGGUGGAUUAUGUGGAUUAAUUCGAUGCAACGCGAAAAACCUUACCUGGCCUUGACAUGUACCGAAUUUACCAGAGAUGGUUUAGUGCUCGAAAGAGAACGGUAACACAGGUGCUGCAUGGCUGUCGUCAGCUCGUGUCGGAGAG
rnacentral:rRNA from 1 species